CACCAGGAGUUAGGGAGACAGCCAGAGCUCCUGCCUUGGUGGAGUAGCACCUUCCUGCUGUGGGCUUCACUUCCUCCUGAGCACGAGUUACAACAGCUGCAGCUGCGGAGAAAGAGAAGCAGCUUGCCAGGCAAGGGAGUAAAUGAUGGCUGGAAAGGAGACACCUUGCAGCUGGGACAAAUAAUGUGCGUAUGCUCAAGAAACCAAGAAUCCCCACAGCAGGGCUUGCGAUCUGCACUGAAGAAUGGCUCCUUUGUCUCGCCCUCCGUCUGAGGCUAAAAGCCAUGCAGCGUGCAGCCAGAUGGCCAGGACAGACUGAGGACCGAGAGGAAAAAGGAGGAAAGCUUCUUUCCUUAAAUUUGUACUGAUCCCUGAGGCUUAGAGAACAAAAGUCCACGGAGCGCACAUCCCUCAGGGGAUGAUUUAGAGGCUGAGGUUCUGAGAGGCUUGCAAAGAAGGAUGCGGAUUCUAUUUCCGGUUGUUUUCAUACCUUUGGAGAACAGAAGAAAAGAGAAAGAAGCUGGACUCAGAAGUCACCAUGCUCACUCCAACACAAGGUCACUUCUACCAUGAGCAGCAGCCUCUGUGACAAGCAGCACCCACAGAGCUGACAAGGCCUGCCCACGGCUGCCUCCUUUUGGAAAGGCCUUG
ensembl:lncRNA